CCUUCCUGGUGUGAGAAAGGAACCAGGCCUAAAAGAGAAUGAUAGUUAAAUCUGGAUGAGUAGAAAUGUGUGUAAAGAAUAUAAAAGUUUAAACCU